rnacentral:rRNA from 1 species
AAGCAUAUCAAUAAGCGGAGGAAAAGAAACCAACAGGGAUUGCCUUAGUAACGGCGAGUGAAGCGGCAACAGCUCAAAUUUGAAAUCUGGCCCUUGGGUCCGAAUUGUAAUUUGUAGAGGAUGAUUUUGGUGCGGUAUCUUCCGAGUUCCUUGGAACAGGACGCCUUAGAGGGUGAGAGCCCCGUACGGUUGAAUGCCUAGCCUCUGUAAAUCUCCUUCGACGAGUCGAGUAGUUUGGGAAUGCUGCUCUAAAUGGGAGGUAAAUUUCUUCUAAAGCUAAAUAUUGGCCAGAGACCGAUAGCGCACAAGUAGAGUGAUCGAAAGAUGAAAAGCACUUUGAAAAGAGGGUUAAAUAGCACGUGAAAUUGUUGAAAGGGAAGGAUUUGUGACCAGACUUUUUCUGGGCGGAUCAUCCGGGGUUCUCUCCGGUGCACUUCGCCCAGUAAAGGCCAGCAUCGGUUUUCGGCGUGGGAUAAAAGCAGUAGGAAUGUGGCUCUCUACGGGGAGUGUUAUAGCCUAUUGUAUAAUACCGCGCUGGGGACCGAGGUUCGCGCUUCUGCAAGGAUGCUGGCGUAAUGGUUAUCAAUCACCCGUCUUGAAACACGGACCAAGGAGUCGAACAUUUGUGCAAGUGUUUGGGUGUUAAACCCUCACGCGUAAUGAAAGUGAACGGAGGUGAGAGCCCUUACGGGUGCAUCAUCGACCGAUCCUGAAGUUUUCGGAUGGAUUUGAGUAAGAGCAUAACUGUUCGGACCCGAAAGAUGGUGAACUAUGCGUGGAUAGGGUGAAGCCAGAGGAAACUCUGGUGGAGGCUCGCAGCGGUUCUGACGUGCAAAUCGAUCGUCAAAUCUGCGCAUGGGGGCGAAAGACUAAUCGAACCAUCUAGUAGCUGGUUACCGCCGAU